UGUGAUUUAACUCUAGUCUAAAGUAUAUUCUAUGUAAUUAUAAAAGUUAAGGUUAUAAAGAUCUAUUUCACAGUUGGAUCUUGGGAGCAGGCAGGCAAUCUAUCACAUAACGAGUUCCCACCCCUCUCUUAGCUCCCUCCAUGCUCUUAGCUGGGUGUCCCAUGGGGUCCCAAGGUAUUUACUUUGAAAAAAUUAACAGUGCUCAAAGCAAGCUUAAGCCACCUGGAUACCAUAGCUAGGAAGAAUGGAAUAGGACAGAGAUCCUAUUUUGUUGGUUUUCAGACUGAGGACAUGAUUAAGAGGUACAGCCAGGAGCAUUCAUAUUGUGCCACUAGAGAUGAAAUUCUUGGACUGGCACAAGAUGGAGCAGAGCAAAAGCAUUUGCCAGUUUAAAAGUAGCCAGUCA
rnacentral:ncRNA from 1 species